GGAGGCAGCAGUGGGGAAUAUUGCACAAUGGGGGAAACCCUGAUGCAGCAACGCCGCGUGAGUGAAGAAGUAUUUCGGUAUGUAAAGCUCUAUCAGCAGGGAAGAAAAUGACGGUACCUGACUAAGAAGCCCCGGCUAACUACGUGCCAGCAGCCGCGGUAAUACGUAGGGGGCAAGCGUUAUCCGGAUUUACUGGGUGUAAAGGGAGCGCAGGCGGUCUGGCAAGUCUGAUGUGAAAUCCCGGGGCUCAACCCUGGAACUGCAUUGGAAACUGUCAGACUAGAGUGCCGGAGAGGUAAGUGGAAUUCCUAGUGUAGCGGUGAAAUGC
rnacentral:rRNA from 1 species